UGAGUGAUAUAUGCAUAAUCGAAAUUCCGUAUUUUUGUCACGGACAAUGAUCGUAACAAGGUUUGAUGGCGAUAACAGAUAUGUGUUAUAACGACUCCGAUUAAUUGGCGAAUAUGAAAAUCACAAAGGAAUAUCGAGUGUCGAAAAUCGGAAAUGCCGAAAGUCGAGAGUGUCGAAAAUCGGAAAUGUUUAAAAUCGGGAGUUUUGAAAAUCGAAUAUGUUAAAAAUCGGAAGCGUCGAAAAUCGGGAGUGCCGAAAAUCGAAAGUCAAAAAUCGGGAGUGCCGAAAACCGGAAGUGUCGAAAAUCGGGAAUGCGUUACGAUAUCGAUAAUCGGGAAACAUUAUUAUAAUAUCGCGAAUUUAAAUGUCUUCGGAUUUGUUCUCAACCCGAUGUCAACGAAUAUUGGCUGGUGCAGCAUGUAGCAAUAUGCCGAUGCAACUUGGAAAUAAAUGCCGUUUCGUACCAAGCCUCGAUUCCCUCGCUGAGAAAUUUCACCUCUUACUACUCUCAGUCACGAUUUCUUCGUUUCGACAGGAGGAAGAUGGAGAUAUCACGUCGCGGAAUUCGAUCAAUACUUCAACGUAAUCAACUUCGCUGUUGUACAUUGACUGGUGAGUAACAAAAAUUUUCAUUUAAUGGUAAAUAAAAAACGUCAAAUGCAUA